rnacentral:rRNA from 1 species
GACGGAGGAUGCAAGUGUUAUCCGGAAUCACUGGGCGUAAAGCGUCUGUAGGUGGUUUAAUAAGUCAACUGUUAAAUCUUGAGGCUCAACCUCAAAAAUCGCAGUCGAAACUAUUAGGCUAGAGUAUAGUAGGGGUAAAGGGAAUUUCCAGUGGAGCGGUGAAAUGCGUAGAGAUUGGAAAGAACACCGAUGGCGAAGGCACUUUACUGGGCUAUUACUAACACUCAGAGACGAAAGCUAGGGUAGCAAAUGGG